UGCAUUGAAACCCCUGCCCAGUGUGAACGCCUCACCAAAGCUCAAGUGACCCAUGAGCUGCUGUGUGUGAGGGACACUCACCUGAAGGUCACCGAUCAGGUGGGCAGCUUGGGAAAGUCACCCUCCAUCCGCUGUGGAGUCAGGCUGAGUCGUCUCAUUCUAUGCCUGGGACCUUAUUAACUGUGAUAUUGUGGGGACUGCAGGUGACGUGAAGAGACAAAGGAAGGACUGUCACGGGAGUGCAGGAGAUAUUUUUUUUUUCCUUUUCCUGGUCCACGCCUGAUUGAUUGCAGCAGUAGAAACAAACAGGAACGUUGCUUAAAAGAGAUGGACGAUGGCUGAUACUCACGAGGUCUUAGGGAGAAAGCUGCUGUCCCAUUGCCAAGGCCGUGUGGGCUGCUUGUGAAAGUGGCCAUCGAGGAGGAAGUGCGAAGUUCUAAAUGCAGUCCUUUGUCCAGGAGCUUACACAUCUGGAAGAACUCAAUACAGGUUUUUCCUGCUCUCAGAAAGAAACCCCCCAAAUUGCCUCUUCGGCUUUUCUGAUACCUUGGGACACAUCUUGCUAGUGGAUGUACAAAAUAAAUCAAGAUAAAGCACA